GGGAACAUGAGCGUGGGGUGAAGAGAAUUCAAAUGAAAAACAGAAUUCAAAUGAAAAACGCAGUAGAAUCAAGGACAUUGCAACUUUGGCCUUUAAAUAUCGCAAGGUCUUGACCCAUGUAUGUUCGAGGACCCAUCCAAAGGGAAAGAAAGUUGGUUGAAGUUUGAUGCUUUAGAAACUCCGUUGCUAAAUCUUUAUAGUUUAAACUCAUUCGCAUCUUCACCCCAUAUCUCAAGAUCACGGUGGAUAAGAACCACUGGUACAAUCAACAUUACACGCAAACUCAAAUUUCCAACUCUCGUUUCCUUUUUAACCAUUCGAUUAAGCGUACUUGUUGUAUAAAAUCACAUUUACCUUGUCGUAUAUGAAGCAAGCAGAAACAUCUCAGUUACCAUUUUAGACGAGGUAGACCAUCUGAAUCUGGGUUGUUAGUUACCAAAUACUUCAUGGGCUUCCUUUUUUGAAGUAACGAAGUACCGAUUGAGGCCUUUGGAAGGGAGAUUCCCUUAGAACAACCGCAGAAUUUCGGCGAUUCAGGAAUCUGGGACUCCACAACCAAGCUACUCCCAAAUGCUGUUCGAGAAAUCACAUCAGCAGCCAUUUGUUGUAGAUAAGGCAUUACGUCUAACUCACACGAUCCGUUCUCGAAGACCAUGCUUUCCCAUUUGCUAACCAUGUCAUAGCAGCUAUGAUAGAAUGCUGGUACCAUAACCUGUAAGCCAAUUUAAGGUAUGUAUGUUCCAUCUUAAAAUAUUCACCGUACAAUAUGAUUCCAAGUAUUGCUGAUAGGAGGUAGUCAUGCACAAGUAUUCAACAACUUUUUCUGUGAUAAGAUACCUUAAGCUUUUCUAAGUGAAAUGCAGGAUUGAUUAUCUUUCUGUGUUUCACCCAUUUUUCUCCUUCAUGGUUUAUAAGUCCAUUUGUAAGCAGCUUGAGAUGGGGAUACAUAAGUGGCUUCUGGAUAUCAUUGAUCAAU